rnacentral:rRNA from 1 species
UCUGGCGGUAAUAGCGUAGGGGAACCACCCGUUCCCAUCCCGAACACGGAAGUUAAGCCCUCCAGCGCCGAUGGUACUAAGAGUUUCUUGGGAGAGUAGGUCACCGCCAGAA